CUCAUUAUUAUUCUCCUGCUCUUGUUGUAUCGCUGCAGACAGUCCAAGUGUAAGAGCCUCUUCUUUUCAUGCUGUAUUAGAGAGUUUAUUUACUACAUACACUUUAAUUAUUCACACAUAUACAUGUAUUCUGAUCUCAUGACACUAAAUAUCAGUGGAACAAUUUAUACAUGACAAACAUGUGUAAUAACAUUUGUCUCUUUCACAGGUUCCUGCUUCACCAGGUCGAUCCAGUCUGAGAGUCACAGUCCGGGCUCCUCCACAAAUCAUGGAGUCAACCAGGAUGAAACUCAUGAAUACAACUCUCUUCAUCCUGGUACUGCUGAUCUCUAUGAAUCAGUCACACAUAUAGACGAAUCAGCAAAUGGAGCAGAUGACCCCAGAGAUGUCACAUACUCUCUUAUUGAACUUAAAACCCUUGGAAAGAAGAGGAAGCAUCAUAAACCAGAGCAGAGUGCUGUUUACUCUGAGGUGAAGACGGGAGCUGCAGAGGACAGUCUGAUGUAUGCUGAGGUCAAACACCCCCAAAAAGGAAAAGCCAAGAAAAAAGCAGCUAAACAAAGUCUGCCAUCACCUCCAGUGAAUGUUGUUCAACAUGUUUAUCUGGUCUUAAAUUCUUCUUUUCACUCACAGGAAAAUCAAGUCCUGCAGCUGAUGCAGCAGUUUAUUCUGAAGUCACAUUAGGAAGCUUUCCUGGUCAGUGAGGAGAGCUGCAGCAGCAAAGCCAAGAAGAAGCAUUUUAUGAAUCCACUGUUGCUGCUCUGCUGCCCAAAUAUCAGACACACUCAGUCUUUAGUGUUUAUGAAGUUUAUAAACUUGGUACUGUCUUUUAGCAUAAAGCACACAGAGGUGUGUCCUGUUUCAAAUCCAUGCUCUUUAUAUUCAGCUGAUAUGUUUUAUAUUCAUUGUUGAGCUUCUGGAUCAAAUUUGAAUGUAUCCUGUACCAACAGCAGUGAGAAAAAAAGUUUGAAGUCUUUAGAGUUUACAUUAAGAAGUGCUGGUAUUUACACCAACAAAUACUUGUUGGUGUAUAUGUAUCAAUCUAAUGUGUGAAUGGGUGGAUGACUGAAUGUAGUGUAAAGCGCUUUGGGGUCCAUAGGGACUAAGUAAAGCGCUAUACAAAUACAGGCCAUUUACCAUUUAAUAAACUUAAACCUGCACCAUCUGCCCUAUUCUGGUAUUCUAAACAGUAUUUAGCGGAAAUAUUAAACAACCUACCUAAUGGGGUUGUGUUACGGCCGGUCUAGGAAACCCGACCGCAACAGAAGAGUGAUCCAUCCCCUGCUCGACCCCAGCACAUCACACCACAAGUUAAAAUAUGACAUGGUUUAUUUACAAACACGAAACGAAAAAAUGGGUUCACAGGAGUCACUCAGGCUUUGGGGUGGACCCACGCCAAAACAACAAACAAAAAGGGAAACUAACUCAGAGGAGCGACUGCUUACCUAGCCCCAAAGAAACAUAACCAAACAACAAUCACUUACCUCCCUGAGUAACUAAACAUGAGAAAAAUGUACCCAACUGAAAAGGCGAUCCACCCCUACUUCCUCCUGGACCUGCAAAGCAACACAGGGCAUGUCGCAGCCCCAGCCGGUUGGGGUAAAACCGAGGAUGGAUGAUUGCCGUCCUCAACCGCGCCGUCUUAUACUCCGCCUCCAGAGCAGCAUCCAGUCCUGGCGCACCGUCUUCGGGAUCCACCACUCCUGGAGGCACACCUGCACACUCACAUUUGCAUGUCAUAAUCCCAACCCACGAUGGCAGCCGUAGCUGUU